rnacentral:rRNA from 1 species
GGGUCAGUAGGUUGGUCGUGCCACCGGUACGUACUGGUCUCACUUCUUCCUCCUUCCUGAAGAACCGUAAUGCCAUUAAUUUGGUGGUGCGGGGAAACAGGACUGUUACUUUGAAAAAAUUAGAGUGUUUAAAGCAAGCUAACGCUUGAUUACAUUAGCAUGGAAUAAUGAAAUAGGACGAUCGAUCCUAUUUUGUUGGUUUCUAGGAUUGACGUA